GGUUAUUGUCGUUAUUUAUUUUGUAACGUGUCAUGAAGGCGCAAUGCGCGCUGAAUGGAAGGCAGGCAAAUAAUAAGGGGGUGCCCGCUUAGUGGACCAUCCCGCGUUGCUCUGCUUCAUUUGUUGCGGUUCGGUUCGGUUUGGUUCUGUUCUCUCCUCUCCACGUUAACUCGAGUCUCUUCUGAGCCGCGUGGAAACAGCAGGUGUAAAUAAGGCUUUCAGGAAACAUCGGAACAUCACAAAAUACUGAAAGAUCUCCAGAAACCCAUAUGCAGAAUUGAUUCUUAGGAAGCUGUUCAGAAAUUGUUGGACUUUGCCAG
rnacentral:lncRNA from 1 species